UUAAAUAUAAUGAUAUAAAAACGUGUGAUAAAAAUAUAUUCUGAAUUGUAUCGGCAGAUUAAUUUGCAAAAUUGAAGUGAGUGCCGAAGUCAAGUAAAAUUUAAUUUUUAUGAAAAAUAAAGAGACUUCUUAGUUAACCUCUUUCUCUACAAGGUGUAUAUAUAACCGCUGAAAGGCAAUGCGGACAAUUGUAGAACUAGCAAGAUGUUCUCUAUGAAGUAAACAUUUCAAUAAGUUUUUAUGGGCUGAAGAAAUUAAUCAUGAAAACUGUCAAGAAAUUACGAAUGUAUUCAAGAUGUAGAAAAUGUCUAAGAAGUUGUUUCAAUUUCAUCUCAGUCUGAAAAUCCAAGCGUUCAACUAGAAAAUUUUGAAAAUGGAAGUGCUAAUACCAGAAGAACAAAUACAAAAUAUAAUUUGGCCCAAUCCAAAAAAUAAAAUUAACGUUGAUGAGAUGUUUCUUUCUGUAAUGGAGAAGGACUAUUUAGAACCAAUUACAUAUGAAGAAGCUAUAAAAACUAGAAAUUCAGAAAAAUGGAAACUAGCUAUGAAAGAAGAAUAUGACACGCUAAUGAAAAAUAAGACCUGGAAACUUUGCAAAUUACCUGAAGGAAGAUAAUUUAUAGAUUGUCAUUGGGUAUAUAAAAUCAAAUACGAUACAAAGCUCGCUUAGUAGUUUACCCAUGAGCAUGGUCUCGACUACGAAGAAACUUUUAGUCCUGUGGUAAAGUCUGACUCUGUUCGUCUUAUGCUAGCAGUAGCAAUAUCUAAAGGAAUGUCGUUAACAAAAUUUAAUAUAAAGACUGCUUUCCUUUACGGUGAUUUAAAUGAAGAAAUUUAUGUAUAUGAGUCAACCCCUUGGAUUUAUUAAAUAACAUCAAAAGGUUUUCUUACCAAAGAAAAGUCUUUAUUGAUUAAAGCAAGCUCCAAGAUGUUUUAAUAAAAAAAUUUGUGAAAUUCUGGACAAAUUUAAUAUGAAAACAAGUAACAAAGUAUAGUCGGGCUUGGCCGGCUGUAUGAUACCCUACAUCAGCAUAUAUCUUGAAAAUUACCUAGAUUCCGAUUUAUUUAAGCAAUAUAUUGACGAAAAACUUAUUUUCUAAAAGAGGCUUUAUAUGGGUAAUAGGAGCAAAUGUGAAUCGAUCUCGAUAAAAUGGGUUGGAUAGAUUUGUAUUUAUAUGAUAUUUAUAAAAUAUAUAUAAUAUUUGUCUGUGCUAAAUUUAACUGCAAUAACGGUGCUAAUAAAUGAAUUGUGGAUAUUCAAGUCACUUUCUGAAGGGUUCUUUGUGUGGGGGCUAGGGUCAAAUGAAGUCCGAUCAUUUCGAAAUUCGCAAGGUCAUCAAGGCUUGUAUAAAUCAUAGUUGUGCGAAAGCCAAGAUUUCAGAUUAAAAUAAUAAACUCAGAAUCUAUAUUUCUUAACCAACGACAGUACAUAGAGUAGAUUAUUAAGAGAUUUUCGAUGCAAGAUUGUAAUUCGUUAUCUACGCCUUUGGAACCAGGAUGGAUAAAAAAACCAUCAUCAUCAAACAAAUGCUGCAAAAAGAAUUAUACGAUAUAUUAAACGAAUCAACCAUGGCUUGCUCUACCCAAAGCAAAAAGGAUUUGGGUGAGUGCACAGUUAGAUUGAAAUUUCAACGACAACGAACAGUUGUACUAUCAACCACUGAAGCAGAAUAUAUUGCUGCAUGUGAAGCUGUAAAAGACAUCGUUUGGACGAAAUGUUUUUUGAAAAAAAUAGCAUAAAACAUUGAUGGAAAUGUUUUAUAUUUGGAUAAUCAAAGCACAAAUCCUGAAUACCAUAAAAGGGCCAAACAUAUUGAUGCGAAAUAUUACUUUAUACGAGAAAAAUUUAAGCUGUUUUGUUAAUUAUAAAGAACAAUUAGGUAGCAGAUAUAUUUACUAAACCCCGUUUCAAAGCCUGUUUUUAAAAAUUUUCGAAAAUGUUUUAAUAUUGCUUCUGAUUUUGUUAGACUAGUAUGCAAACUUUUAAUAUUGUUUUUGUAUAAUAUAAUUGUAACACUAAAGGGAGGUGUUGAAUAUGUUUUUUGUAUUUACUGUAAAUACUUUGUAUGAUAAAUAGUCAACAGUUCGAAUAUUGUAUUUUAUGAAUUGUAUACUUUUUAAAAAUUGUCACUUCAAUAAAAACCUUUAUAUAAAAAAGGAAGGGUGUUAUAAUAUUAAUUUGAAAUGUAUGUCUAAUUACUUGGGAUCCUAGCGACAUUUCUUUUUUUUUCUCAA